rnacentral:rRNA from 1 species
UACGUAGGGUCCGAGCGUUGUCCGGAAUUAUUGGGCGUAAAGAGCUCGUAGGCGGUUUGUCGCGUCUGCUGUGAAAUCCCGAGGCUCAACCUCGGGUCUGCAGUGGGUACGGGCAGACUGGAGUGCGGUAGGGGAGAAUGGAAUUCCUGGUGUAGCGGUGGAAUGCGCAGAUAUCAGGAGGAACACCGAUGGCGAAGGCGGGUCUCUGGGCAGUAACUGACGCUGAGGAGCGAAAGCGUGGGGAGCAAACAGG